GGGCGUGUGGCUCAGUUGGUAGAGCGUUCGCUUAGCAUAAUUCCCUGGUCCGAUCUUGAUGAGAGAGAAGACUGACGGUUAUGCGAAAGGUCCUGGUUCGAUUCCCAGCUCGUCCA